rnacentral:rRNA from 1 species
ACGUAGGGGGCAAGCGUUAUCCGGAAUUAUUGGGCGUAAAGAGUGCGUAGGUGGUUUUUUAAGUGAGAGGUGAAAGCCAAUAGCUUAACUAUGGAAGGGCUUGGGAACUGGAAGACUUGAGUACAGGAGAGGAAAGUGGAAUUCCUAGUGUAGCGGUGAAAUGCGUAGAUAUCAGGAGGAACACCGGUGGCGAAGGCGACUUUCUGGACUGUAACUGACGCUGAGACACGAAAGCGUGGGGAGCAAACAG